rnacentral:rRNA from 1 species
UACGUAGGGGGCAAGCGUUGUCCGGAAUCAUUGGGCGUAAAGAGCGUGUAGGCGGUCCGGUAAGUCAGCUGUGAAAGUCAAGGGCUCAACCCUUGAAAGCCGGUUGAUACUGUCGGGCUCGAGUCCGGAAGAGGCGAGUGGAAUUCCUGGUGUAGCGGUGAAAUGCGCAGAUAUCAGGAGGAACACCUAUUGCGAAGGCAGCUCGCUGGGACGUAACUGACGCUGAGACGCGAAAGCGUGGGGAGCAAACAGG